rnacentral:rRNA from 1 species
GGCGGACGGGUGAGUAAUGCCUAGGAAUCUGCCUGAUAGUGGGGGACAACGUUUCGAAAGGAACGCUAAUACCGCAUACGUCCUACGGGAGAAAGCAGGGGACCUUCGGGCCUUGCGCUAUCAGAUGAGCCUAGGUCGGAUUAGCUAGUUGGUGAGGUAAUGGCUCACCAAGGCGACGACCCGUAACUGGUCUGAGAGGAUGAUCAGUCACACUGGAACUGAGACACGGUCCAGACUCCUACGGGAGGCAGCAGUGGGGAAUAUUGGACAAUGGGCGAAAGCCUGAUCCAGCCAUGCCGCGUGUGUGAAGAAGGUCUUCGGAUUGUAAAGCACUUUAAGUUGGGAGGAAGGGUUGUAGAUUAAUACUCUGCAAUUUUGACGUUACCGACAGAAUAAGCACCGGCUAACUCUGUGCCAGCAGCCGCGGUAAUACAGAGGGUGCAAGCGUUAAUCGGAAUUACUGGGCGUAAAGCGCGCGUAGGUGGUUUGUUAAGUUGGAUGUGAAAUCCCCGGGCUCAACCUGGGAACUGCAUCCAAAACUGGCAAGCUAGAGUAUGGUAGAGGGUGGUGGAAUUUCCUGUGUAGCGGUGAAAUGCGUAGAUAUAGGAAGGAACACCAGUGGCGAAGGCGACCACCUGGACUGAUACUGACACUGAGGUGCGAAAGCGUGGGGAGCAAACAGGAUUAGAUACCCUGGUAGUCCACGCCGUANACGAUGUCAACUAGCCGUUGGGAGCCUUGAGCUCUUAGUGGCGCAGCUAACGCAUUAAGNNNACCGCCUGGNNNNNNCGGCCGNCAGG